rnacentral:misc_RNA from 1 species
AAUUUUAUCUUUUUUUUUUUUUUUGGGUACUGAAGAAAGUAGAUAAGCCUGUUUUCUUUCUAUGAGGUUUGAAUUUGUUUGUCUACAGCUCUUCCACUUCUUUAAUGCUAAUCACAUGCGACAACUUUCUAUGAGCUAUUUUAUUUAUGUGUGAACUUUACCUCUUCUGUGUGAAUUUGUUAUGAAAUGUGACUUUGAUCUAUCAAUGGAGUUGGUUAAAACAUUGCACAUUAUGCUUUUCAUAAUGCAUGAUCUCAUCUCUCAUUGUGUAUUAUGUGAGACCCAUCAGUGAUCUUGCUUGCUAUCUUUUAGGUUUGUGCAAGAAA